GAAGACGGAGAUUUCUAGACUUGAAAUCAUGUCGUUAGGCGGUGAUGGGACGCGAAACUUUUAUCUAGAUAAAUCCCAUCCGUUCAACUUCCUAGGAAAUUCAAAUUUUCAAAGGUCGAUAUUUUCGUUCAAAUCUUCCUAUAAAUUCAAACUUUGUUCAUAUAUAUAAAUACUUGCGGUCAAGAAGAUUGUUCAACGCCUUAGGUAAAGUUUUCUCUCCAUUUUCUUUAUCGUUCCUCUUCUUUUCGUUUUAUCAUUAUGGGUAAAAAAAACUCACCAGAUCAAAAUCUAGGGUUGAGGGACCUGUGUUAGAAAAUUUCACUGACUUAGGUAUAUUGCCUCGAGAUGAAAGUGAAAGUUGUGCUUUCUUGAACUCUGAUAUCAAGUUACUUCGAUCAUACGAAAAUUUUCCUUUUGACAGUCUUAAGGGAUUUCGACACUAGGUUGAAGCCUGGUUUCAUAUCUCUUUAUUUGGGUUUGUUUUUAUGAUUUUCCGUUUUCUAUUUGGAUUUCAUUCCCCUUUCUUCCUUUGAUUUCUAUGUUUUUUGAGGUUCCCCAAUUUUCUUGUGCCCAAAUCAUGCCCAUGGUUUGACAUAUUUUGUUCUGGGUUGUCUUCCUUAAUGAAUCUGAAAACCUAGAUCUUGGUUUGUCCGGGAUUGCUAGUAUCUAUGACUUCCACAACUUUGGUUCUUAUCGUAUUAUCUUCAAGAUCAAACCUGGAAAAAUCCAUUUGAUCCUUAAGACUUCCUUUCACGAUGUCGGAUGGAAGAGAAAGUAUUUUUUUCAUCAACAAACAGUCUCUUGCAGGUUUCUUGCUAAGUGAUUGGGUUACUACGGGUAAGAUUCUUAUUUCUACAGUUUAUUGUAUUAUUUUUAUUUAAAAGUCGACUCUUGUUUUUUGAUUUAUCUUGAAUAGUACCGCAGUUUGAGAAACUAUUUCCUCCCAAGGAAGACACUAAGGAAAAAGGUUAAAAGUUUAAUGGCAAUUCUUGCAGAGAAUAGGGUUUUCAAAGUCAUCUUGGAGUGUUCUUAGGAUAAGGAUCUUAACAUAUCUUUGGUUAUUAGAGAUCUAGAGCCCAUCAACAGUCUACUGGUAUGUUAACUUGUUCCUUUCUUACUUUUUGAUUUGUUUUUGAUGUAAUUUUCUUCUUCUUCAGGUUUCAUGCUUACUUGACCAGGUUUGUCAUUCUCUUAUUUCAAUGUCGAGGGCUUUCUUUCUAGAGGGAAAGCCUACAAGUCCUAAUCCCAAGAAGAGGAAGCUUACUUUGGAACUUGGGCAAUAAGUUUUUGACGGUUUAGGCCCUUUUGAAAUUAAGUUGAAGUUAAUUACUCUUACUCAAACUAUAAGUUAUACUUAUCUUCAUUGUGUAAUGUCCCAAAAACCAUAAUAAAAUUUCUCAUUUUACUUUGUAUCAUAGUAUGUAUCCUUGUGUGUAGGAUGUUGAUAUGUUGUAGUAAUUUGUUAGAUUGGUAGAUCUAUUAUGAUUACCUGUAUUGUUGGUUAUUGUUUGUUUGUUUGUUUGUAUAUGUCGAC
rnacentral:lncRNA from 1 species